rnacentral:rRNA from 1 species
AUUGAACGCUGGCGGCAUGCUUUACACAUGCAAGUCGAACGGUAACAGGCCGCAAGGUGCUGACGAGUGGCGAACGGGUGAGUAAUGCAUCGGAACGUGCCCAGUCGUGGGGGAUAACGCAGCGAAAGCUGUGCUAAUACCGCAUACGAUCUAUGGAUGAAAGCGGGGGACCGUAAGGCCUCGCGCGAUUGGAGCGGCCGAUGUCCGAUUAGGUAGUUGGUGGGGUAAAGGCUCACCAAGCCAACGAUCUGUAGCUGGUCUGAGAGGACGACCAGCCACACUGGGACUGAGACACGGCCCAGACUCCUACGGGAGGCAGCAGUGGGGAAUUUUGGACAAUGGGCGCAAGCCUGAUCCAGCAAUGCCGCGUGCAGGAAGAAGGCCUUCGGGUUGUAAACUGCUUUUGUACGGAACGAAAAGGUUUGGGUUAAUACCCUGGGCCGAUGACGGUACCGUAAGAAUAAGCACCGGCUAACUACGUGCCAGCCGCCGCGGUAAUAC